rnacentral:lncRNA from 1 species
GGGGCUUGGGAACAGUUCCCGCUUCCAGGUUUUCUCGACCUCCAUCUGCCGGUCAAUCCCACCUCUACACAAACCAGCGAACAGACAUAUCAUCCACCAAAUUAUACCACCAGCAACCACCACCCAACCCCAAAUCCAGUUCCGGCGACUUCCACAUCCAGCUACUACCAUCGCUCACCACCGCUCUGCUCCAAAUCAACGUCACCUGCUAGCAUCGAUCAACACCGCUCUACCCCAAAUCGAAAGGUCGCCGCUUUAUCUACUCCGUCAACCGACGACUUUUGUCGGACGAUUAGGGCUCCAACAGCAGCAAACGAUGAUGGGAAGUCUCUUCUUGCUGAAAAAAAAUGUAGAGUGCUACAUGUACAUAUUAUAUAACUUCUUUAAAUGCAAAAGAUUUCAAAAGGCAGCAGCACAUAUAUAGGAAAGUUAAGCCGUUUGUGUUUCUGAAUUGAUCAAAAGUUCGAAAGAAGGACAACUCCGGCGAUCAAAUUCUUGGUGGGUAUGCACGAGCCUUUGUGAUGAUUAUAAUGUUGAAGUUCAAUUGGAUGCACCUUUGUGUGUGACAGUUGUUCAGAUUGGUCGUUGUCUAACGUGGUGGUGCAGACGAAUUCUAUUGAAGUUGGGACAGAGGGCCAAGCCGAUGCGUGUAAGAAGCCUGUGUGGAAUAAGUUUUCUGAUGGAGUCGUGAAUGCGGUUAGUCCGGUUAUGGGUGCGGCUUGGCAUGGCAUGCGCUUGGUGUAUCAACUAAACCGACGCUUCGUUGGAGUCAUUAAAAGCGCUUUAUUACCCCCUGCGUUACCGGUAGCAGUUUUACUUUAGUAUUCUAAUUGAUUGUUUAAUCUGUGGUAAUUUGGCAAAUUUAAUACACUUAUCUAUGUAUAGAUGAAAAUUUGAAUUAAAAGAUCUUUGUGCAUAGUUGCAUAUGUAUAAGUUUCAAAUACUUAUCAAUUUCAUUGCUCAUAUCUUAUUUAAUGGAUUGUGUUUAGG